GACGAACGCUGGCGGCGUGCUUAACACAUGCAAGUCGAACGGAAAGGCCCUGCUUUUGUGGGGUGCUCGAGUGGCGAACGGGUGAGUAACACGUGAGUAACCUGCCCUUGACUUUGGGAUAACUUCAGGAAACUGGGGCUAAUACCGGAUAGGAGCUCCUGCUGCAUGGUGGGGGUUGGAAAGUUUCGGCGGUUGGGGAUGGACUCGCGGCUUAUCAGCUUGUUGGUGGGGUAGUGGCUUACCAAGGCUUUGACGGGUAGCCGGCCUGAGAGGGUGACCGGCCACAUUGGGACUGAGAUACGGCCCAGACUCCUACGGGAGGCAGCAGUGGGGAAUAUUGCACAAUGGGCGGAAGCCUGAUGCAGCAACGCCGCGUGCGGGAUGACGGCCUUCGGGUUGUAAACCGCUUUCGCCUGUGACGGAGCGUGAGUGACGGUAAUGGGUAAAAAAGCACCGGCUAACUACGUG
rnacentral:rRNA from 1 species